rnacentral:rRNA from 1 species
GCCCUUCCGAAAUCGUCGACAACAGAGUUUGAUCCUCGCUCAGGACGAACGCUGGCGGCGUGCUUAACACAUGCAAGUCGAACGAUGAAGCCGGGGCUUUUUGUUUUGGUGGAUUAGUGGCGAACGGGUGAGUAAUACGUGAGUAACCUGCCCUUGUCUUUGGGAUAAGCCUGGGAAACUGGGUCUAAUACCGGAUAUUCUGCCUUUGCCGCAUGGUGGGGGUUGGAAAGAUUUUUUGGAUGGGGAUGGGCUCACGGCCUAUCAGCUUGUUGGUGGGGUGAUGGCCUACCAAGGCGUCGACGGGUAGCCGGCCUGAGAGGGUGACCGGCCACAUUGGGACUGAGAUACGGCCCAGACUCCUACGGGAGGCAGCAGUGGGGAAUAUUGCACAAUGGACGCAAGUCUGAUGCAGCGACGCCGCGUGGGGGAUGAAGGCUUUCGGGUUGUAAACUCCUUUCAGUACAGAAGAAGCAUUUUUUGUGACGGUAUGUGCAGAAGAAGCGCCGGCUAACUACGUGCCAGCAGCCGCGGUAAUACGUAGGGCGCGAGCGUUGUCCGGAAUUAUUGGGCGUAAAGAGCUCGUAGGCGGUUUGUUGRGCCUGCUGUGAAAGACCGGGGCUUAACUUCGGGGUUGCAGUGGGUACGGGCAGACUAGAGUGUGGUAGGGGUAAUUGGAAUUCCUGGUGUAGCGGUGGAAUGCGCAGAUAUCAGGAGGAACACCGAUGGCGAAGGCAGGUUACUGGGCCAUUACUGACGCUGAGGAGCGAAAGCGUGGGUAGCGAACAGGAUUAGAUACCCUGGUAGUCCACGCUGUAAACGUUGGGCACUAGGUGUGGGGCCUUUUCCACGGGUUCUGCGCCGUAGCUAACGCUUUAAGUGCCCCGCCUGGGGAGUACGGCCGCAAGGUUAAAACUCAAAGGAAUUGACGGGGGCCCGCACAAGCGGCGGAGCAUGCGGAUUAAUUCGAUGCAACGCGAAGAACCUUACCAAGGMUUGACAUACACUGCGAUGUGCCAGAGG